rnacentral:rRNA from 1 species
AGCGAACGCUGGCGGCAGGCCUAACACAUGCAAGUCGAACGAACCUUUCGGGGUUAGUGGCGGACGGGUGAGUAACACGUGGGAACGUGCCUUUAGGUUCGGAAUAACUCAGGGAAACUUGUGCUAAUACCGAAUGUGCCCUUCGGGGGAAAGAUUAAUCGCCUUUAGAGCGGCCCGCGUCUGAUUAGCUAGUUGGUUGAGGUAAUGGCUCACCAAGGCGACGAUCAGUAGCUGGUAUGAGAGGAUGAUCAGCCACAUUGGGACUGAGACACGGCCCCAACUCCUACGGGAGGCAGCAGGUGGGAAUCUUGCGCAAUGGGCGAAAGCCUGACGCAGCCAUGCCGCGUGAAUGAUGAAGGUCUUAGGAUUGUAUAAUUCUUUCACCGGGGACGAUAAUGACGGUACCCGGAGAAGAAGCCCCGGCUAACUUCGUG